rnacentral:rRNA from 1 species
UUUAAUGAGAGUUUGAUCCUGGCUCAGGACGAACGCUGGCGGCGUGCCUAAUACAUGCAAGUAGAACGCUGAGGUUUGGUGUUUACACUAGACUGAUGAGUUGCGAACGGGUGAGUAACGCGUAGGUAACCUGCCUCAUAGCGGGGGAUAACUAUUGGAAACGAUAGCUAAUACCGCAUAAGAGUAAUUAACACAUGUUAGUUAUUUAAAGGAGCAAAUUGCUUCACUGUGAGAUGG